rnacentral:sRNA from 1 species
CACACGCACAAACAAUUACAAAAACUGUUUAAUUUGUGACUCGUUAUUUUUAAGCGAAAAGUGAAAUUUUUUUAUAUUUUUUUUAUACAAAAUACAAAGCUCACAAUGGACAUAUCGGCGUGCGCCAGAAAAAAUCUACAAUAUGUACUAUACAUACAUCAACAGAGACAAAAACAAGAAUAUUGCAUGAUACACAUACACAUACAUUGCUGGGUAUUCUAGGGCUAAGCACAUCACCUACAUGCGCCAGACAUAUAUUAAUUAAUACAUAAACAGGAAUGAUACACCUCUGAUACACAAUCGGUAUGAAUAUUCUCCAAAUGAAGUAAACCUUGCAAGACACUUAAAGCACAUUUUACAUACGAAUAAAAACAGAUAAAGUCAUCGCAUAUAUAUACAGAAACAGAAAGAAGUAAACAAACGCAAUUUCAAUGGCUCUAUAGAAGCAAUGGCACACACACAUAUCAUGGAGCAGAAUUCUUCGGUGGGAAUGCUAACACCCAAGAAAAGACAACAGGCAUUGGAUAGAUAACUGAAGCUUAAAUAAAUAUAU